rnacentral:lncRNA from 1 species
CCGACUUGGUUCUGAACCUGGGCCAGCCCCUUCUUAGCCUGCAGCUAUGUGGGGUCCCAGCACAAUGCUUCUCUUUUCCUGUUGUGGUUUCCUGCAGCAGAUGGAUUUUGCAGCCGCUGACCGCACUCUCCGCAGAGAACUCUGGGAAAACAGCAAUGGCACCCACCUCACAGACUCAUGGGUACAGCAGGAACAAAUCAGCAGAUCAUCAGAGGAAGUUCUGGGAAGAGUUGAAAGAAGGAUCAUAUACAGACCAGAAGACUCCUCAGGGAAGGAGGACAUGAGCCAUAAACAUAAAAAAAAUCCUGUGGAGCUUCCAAGAGGAUUGGUUUCUUCACUUAAGCGCCACAAACACAAAACUGGAGUCGGGAAGGAACAGUUGCUUUACGCUGGUGACAUCGCCAAUAAAACAGCACCCUCCAGUGGACCUUCAAGCUCUUAUAGAAACUAUAGUAUGGAAGAGAUGAAUGUGGACUCCACCAUUCCUUCAUUUUCCAGGCCAGAAGAUGGAAGAGACGUUCUGGAAACAGGAACAAGUCCUACUCCACGUUUCACUCCACUGUUUCCCAACACAAACAGCAUCUACCCAUCAGUUCAAUGGGCAAAUAAUGGACAUAGGUCAAAUUCCACAGGAAAAGUCUCUCUGGAGAAACCAGAAAAAGGUGACACCCACUCGCCACAGGAAACUGAGAAGACCCCAGUACUCUCAUGGGAGGAAACGGCCCAGGAACCACCUGUAGAACUGCCAGAGGUGGACAUGGGGGAUCUGAAUGAAGAGAGAGGUGAGAAGGAGGAAGGGAACGGAGCGAGGCUGCAGAGUGUGACGCCCGCGCCCACAGUCACACCAGAGACUGACACUGAGCUCCACCAAAGGUCCCCAGAGCACACAGGAUCAGGUGAUCGGUGCAGUCCAGAACAUCCUGCAGGAUGCC